UGGUGGAGUGAUUUGUCUGGUUAAUUCCGUUAACGAACGAGACCUCAGCCUGCUAAAUAGUCAGACGCUACUCUUAGCGAACUGAUUCUUCUUAGAGGGACUAUGUGCGUUUAGCACAUGGAAGUUUGAGGCAAUAACA
rnacentral:rRNA from 1 species